AUGUUUUUGAAAAAAAAAAAAAACCCUCGUGAUCCACUGUAAUUGCCAUGGGUCUUCACCAUUUUUAGGGGUCAUUUUUUUUUUCCUUUUUCUUUUUUCAAAUUUAUCCAGAUAUAUAUAUAUAUUUUAGGGAUUUGUUUGCCAACCCUGGCCUUUUCUCACUUUCCUUUUUCCUUUCUAUACAACAAAAUGAAAAUAUUUAGGAACAACUUUUCUUACAAAAAAAUAAAAAACAAAAACUCAAAACCCAUUUAACCUUUAUGUCAUGUCAAAAGACUUUUUUCAACAAUUUAAUAUUUUUUAGUCAAAUCAAAUUGUUUUGUCAUUAUUAUUUAAUAUUUUUGUGACAAAGUUGAAGAGCAGUUUAAUACUUUUUUAUCAAAUAAGAUUAAGAAUUUAUUUGACAUUGCGAUUUCGUAGACAAAAAAAUCGAUUUUAAAUAAAAUCUCACAAAAUUAAUCAUUUGAAAUUGUAUUUUUUAAAAACUUAGAAACUAUAUAUUUUCAAAUCAUAAGCAAGUAAGUAAAUACUUUUUUAAAACCUAAAUUACAAUUUUAGCGGGCAUAAUGCGGUUUUGCAAAACUUUAACCUACGUUUUUAAAUAUAUAUUUUAAAAUUAUUAUUAUUAUUUUUUGGUUAAAAAAUAAAACAAAAAAAAAAACAAAAAAGAAAGUAGAUGUAAAGGAAAUUGAUUGAAAAGGUAACCCUGAGCGUACGGGUAAAGGAUCGUACAUGAGCAGUUUGAAAGUAGGGAGAGGAAAAGCUAAAAAUAAUAAGGUAAUGAUGAAGAAUCGCAUUAAAGGCUGAGUCGUCUCGUGCGAAGCGUAAAUUUAAAUACCGAGUUUAUUUGUCUUGUUGUGUGUGCGCGUGUGUGUCUGUGUCUGUGUGCGUUUGACUGAGGAAGCAACUGGUGGUAGCAGGUAACAGGUCGGUUGGUUAACCGGCAACAUCAGGUAAAAUACACUUGGGAAAUGACAAAAAAACAAAAAAAAACAAAUAUAUAUUAGGCCUAUUGGGUGGGGGGUGGGUAGGGUUGCUGGUUCUGCCUUGGCAAUUGGGGUUUUAUGUUAGUAGUUAAAUGCCAUUUUGCAUAAGCUAAAUUAGGCACAUCUGAAUCCCGAGCUAUAGAGAGAAAAAAAACAUAGAGGGUGUUUCGUUUUUUUGAGGGGAAUGUCGGCUGGCUCGAGGCUUUUUGGCUUUUGGCAUGGGUGGUUUUCUCAUGAAAAAAAGAACUCUUAAGGCUUCGGACCAGGCUUCAUUCCCCUCAAACUUUUUAUACGUAUAUGGGAUGUAUAUAUAUUAUUGCUUCAUUCUUCCAGCUUUCUCAGUACCUUCAAAGAUCGAUGACGAUGAUGAUAUCUUUUGUUUGUUUUUCUUUGUGAAAGUUAGGUUGAGAGGAAUGUUGUCUGGCUCGAGGUCAUGGAGGAUUUAUAUAUAUGUAUAUUUUUUCAUAUAAUUUGAAACCCUAAAUGAUUCUCGGACCAGGCUUCAUUCCCCCCAACCAACCAUAGUGAUUGAUUCCU
rnacentral:precursor_RNA from 1 species